rnacentral:rRNA from 1 species
UACGUAGGCAGCAAGCGUUGUUCGGAGUUACUGGGCGUAAAGGGUGUGUAGGCGGUUCUUUUAAGUUUGGUGUGAAAUAUCCCGGCUCAACCGGGAGGGUGCACUUUAGACUGAUGAGCUUGAGGUCGGUAGAGGGGGGUGGAAUUGCUGGUGUAGCGGUGAAAUGCGUAGAGAUCAGCAGGAACACCCGUGGCGAAGGCGGCCCCCUGGGCCGUACCUGACGCUGAGGCGCGAAGGCUAGGGGAGCGAA